UAGGACAAAAAGUCACAAAUAAUAUGUUGACAGUUGUUUGAAUAUAUCAAGGAUUUGUAUAGUCUAACUAUACAGGUCCUUGAAUAUAUGUAAGAGAAAUAUCUUUAAAUAUUUACUUUUUAAUACAUAUAUUCAUAUUCAUGUUUAGGAAAUGUGUCAUUAUACUUGAAAAAUGAAGAUUUAUUAAUUUUAUUCAUGCAAACGAUAUAUUUCAUGGUACCAUGAAGCCAUUUAAGUGCCAAGCCACUUUGACAUUUUGUUUUGAAUCAUAUUUGAUAUUUUUUUGAUAAAUUUGUUUACAAAGUCAGUUGCUUUAUUUACAAUAGUUCAAGAAAAAUUCUAAAAUAUUUUUGUAGGAAUAAGUGUUUUUAAUUCAAAUAAAAUACUUUUUGUCCUGUGACUUUUUUUCCAUGACUUUUUGUCUGUGCCAUAAUUUGUUCCCUUUUAUAGACCAAUGAACAUGAUAAACCAAACUUGAAAUAAAUAGUGAGAUAUCAAGAGAGAAGCUAGGUAAACAAUAAAUAUGUCUAUUUUGAGUAAGAAUGUAGAAAAUACUUUUCUUUUUUGGUAAAGGAGAAAAAAUAGACACAGGUUAGAUUGUAUAUCCCUUGAUGUCAACUAGGGCACCUGGAAAACAAAGCAAUUAACAAAAGAAUACAUACAAUAUCUUAAUUAACAUUUCAUUUUCUCAAAAUAUUUGUAUGGCUUCUAUUAAAUUUGGCAUUUAACAACACUGUCAUGAGCAUUGACCAAUCAUUAAAAAGAAAAAAAAAUGUUUUUAUAUUACACCAAUCGCUGAUAUUAAAAAUAUAUUAAUUAUUGAUUGGUUCAACCAGUCCUUUAUAGUCUGAGUACCUUAAUUUUUUUUUAAAUUAAUUAUUGUUCACACAAAAUUAAUGAUGGAUUCCCAACAGCAUAGUCAACAAUACCUAGCGCGUCAUCAACACUUCAACCAAACUGCAUCACCACAGAAUUUAUUCGUUCCUAGACCCUAUGUUCAGACUCCUCAACACUAUCAGACACCUACUCAGAUGUGUUAUUUGAACUGCAAAUGUUGUGCCAUGUUUUUGAUGACCAAAUGUGUAUGUUCAUGCAAUCAGCAGAAAGUCUCCAUUGCUACACAGACAGACCAGGUCCAGAAGAACUUUGUGAAAGAUGAUUACUUUAAGCCCAAAACCUCAGCUUACCAAUUAUUACAGGCAGAAAUUACUAGAACAGCUCAUAGUAAUAGGUUUCACAGCACAUCUGAUCAGGGUUUUGAGAUGGCCAUAUCAUCAAUUAUACAGUACCUAGGUGAUCUGCAAGACACCCCAACAACAAGAGAAAAAGUUAGAUACCGCCUUAAAAAGAGAAUGUACAACCAACAGGGUUAUGAAAAAAUAAAAAAUCUUGCACAAAUGAAUGGGGUGAGUGUAAAGAAAUGCCAAUCUGCAGCUGUGAAGCGUGGUCUACCGUUUAUAAAUGAGCCAGCAACAAAACAAACCAAAAACACAGAAAACUCACCUGUGUCAACUUCAGUUUCUCCUAUCAACACACCUAUUGUGUCUCCUGCUGCCACACCUAUUGUGUCUCCUGCUGCCACACCUAUUGUGUCUCCUGACGUCACACCUAUUGUGUCUCCUACCGUCACACCAAGUAUUUCUCCUGCCGUCACUCCUAUUAUUUCUCCAGCCGUCACACCUAUUGUCUCUCCUGCCAUCACACCAGUUGCUUCUCCGACUCCGUCUAGAUCUUCAUCAGUCACCAUGUCCUCAGGGUCACCAAAGAUAACCGAGAAGGUAUUCAAAACAGCUAAUGGUGUCAUGUUUAAGAUCAAAGAUGUUGUUUGUAUCGCAAAUUCAAAAACACACUGUGACUAUGCUGAAGUAAAAAAAGUCUGGAAGACCAAAGUGGACAUUCAUUAUUUGAAAAAAACUUCAAAGGGACUUUCAAGUUGGAUGCUUUCAUCAAAUGUAAAUUACAAAGACAGUGUCCACAUCAAUUCCAUUUUUUAUUCAUUAGGAAAGACAGAAUUUAGCCAAGAACACCACCAAGUCAUCAAAGAAAAACUAUCCAAACUUUUUUAGAAUUUAAAUAAUCAUAUUGUAUUGUUGAGAACGUAUAUAUAUAUAUAUAUGUGUAAUUUGUUAGUCCUCUACUAGAAAUGCCAAGGGAACAAAUCUGUCUGUCCAAUUUGUCCUCCUGAAAAGUCAAUUUACCAAUUUUUUUCAUCAUCCUUGACUAUUUUAUUUUAAUAUUUGGUAUAUAUAUAUAGGUUUAUUACUAAAAUUUACAUGUCGUGUCUAUAUUGUGUUCCAAUCAUUGAGAAGCUUAAUAUUCCUUUUACAACACAACGUAAUUAAAACGUAUAGCUUACUUUACAGAGUUAUCUCCCUUUAAUGUUAGGAACCACCUAAAUAGCAUUUUGUCUAGUAAUUAGACAUGUUAUUCAAUAUAUAUAGGAAUUUAUUUGUCAAAUACUGAUUUCAUGUUCACUAUUUUGAGGGGGGGGGGGGGAAUACACAAUUAGGAAGAGUUGGGUAUUGAUUUUUAUUUCAAAUAAUUGAAAUAAAGAGGAAUUAAGUGGAAACAGCUAAUUUUUCCUUGUGCAAUUUGUGUAAAACAUGUAUACGCUUUUAAAAUCUAUUUAUUUCAAUUGUUUUUAUGUUUAGCUUCUGAUAUAAUUUAGUUUUAAAAAAAAAUAAUCUUUUAUAUACUUUCGAAUGACCAAAGUCAAAUCGCCGAAAUUUUUAAAAGUGUCUAACAUGUCUCAUAACUGAAUGGAUUAGUACUUUUGCACCAUUUUUUGUAGUGAAUAAAACUGAUAAAUUUAAAUAAAUGCAGAAAAUAAUCUAUAAAUUAAAUUUCAUGUUUAGAUUAUUAACUGUUUAUUUUAAAGAAAGUUCUUUUUUAAAUAUGAAAUUGAAAAUAUAUUGUGAGGUAAACAUUUUUGUCAGUAUUUUAUAGGUGUGUGUGUUAAAUACACAAUAUGUUAUAGGUGUGUGUGUACAACACACAAUGUCAAAUCAUUUCUCUAUUCAUAAAUGAUCAUAAAUAUAUAUAUAUGUAUAUAAACUGAAAAUCAUUUCCAUUCUCUUCUUAUUCCCUUGUUGUGCUAAUUCUGGGUAAAGCAACCAACAACAAUUAAUUCAUUCUCUGUAAUAAAUAUCAUGUAUAUAUAUUCAUUUCAUAUAAAAACACAUACGUUUCAGCCAAUAUGUGUGUAUGAAUGUAUGUGUGUGUAUAUAAACAAUGUAUUCAAACUGAAUGUCAUUUCCAUUCUCUUCAAUAAAUAUCAUGUAUAUGUAUGUAUAUAUUUAAUAUAAAAACACAAUAUUCCGUACUUUCAGCCAAAAAGUGUGUAUGUAUGUGUGUGUGUAUAAUAUUUAAACAAUG